rnacentral:sRNA from 1 species
UCGAUGCGACAACGACAAUGCAGCGAA